rnacentral:rRNA from 1 species
CCUACGGGAGGCAGCAGUGGGGAAUUUUGGACAAUGGGCGCAAGCCUGAUCCAGCUAUUCCGCGUGUGGGAAGACGGCCCUCGGGUUGUUAACCACCUUUGUAGAGGACGUAAAGUCUGUUGAUAAUACCGAUAGACGAUUACGGUAAUCUAAGAAUAAGCACCGGCUAACUACGUGCCAGCAGCCGCGGUAAUACGUAGGGUGCGGGCGUUAAUCGGUAUUACUGGGCGUAAAGGGUGUGCAGGUGGUUUUGCAAGAUGGAAGUUAAAGGCCCGGGCUUAACCUGGGAACGGCAUAUAUGACUGCAAGACUAGAGUGCGUCAGAGGUGGGUGGAAUUCGCAGUGUAGCAGUGAAAUGCGUAGAUAUUUGGAAGAACACCGAUGGCGAAGGCAGCCCCCUGGGACGCAACUGACGCUGAUACACGAAAGCGUGGGGAGCAAACAGGAUUAGAUACCCCAGUAGUC